rnacentral:pre_miRNA from 1 species
ACCAGGUGGCGGUCCUCCAAAACCCGGUGACGGUCCUCCAAAACCCGGUGGCGGUCCUCAACGGCCACCAGGUUCUUGAGGACCGCCACCAGUUCUUAUGGACCGCCACCAGGUUCUUGAGGACCACCACCAGGUUUUGGAGGACCGCCAUCACGUUUUGGAGAACCGCCAUCAGGU